UACGUAGGGUGCGAGCGUUAAUCGGAAUUACUGGGCGUAAAGCGUGCGCAGGCGGUUCGUUGUGUCGGCGGUGAAAGCCCCGGGCUUAACCUGGGAAUGGCCGUCGAAACUGGCGAACUGGAGUGUGGCAGAGGGGGGUGGAAUUCCGCGUGUAGCAGUGAAAUGCGUAGAGAUGUGGAGGAAUACCGAUGGCGAAGGCAGCCUCCUGGGAUAACACUGACGCUCAUGCACGAAAGCGUGGGGAGCAAACAGG
rnacentral:rRNA from 1 species